AUGCUUAGAUGCUGAAUGGUGUUAGAUAGAGCAUGUAAUAAAAUUCCCUCUUCUAAACAACUUAGGACCGGCAGCUGCCUUUCUGAAAAGCCACCCAGGCUCACCCAGUUCUACAAAAGUCCUUGAGUCCUCGGUAUUAUUCAGUAGCUUGGGAAGCAAAACUGAACUCUAUGCAGUCAAGAUCUGGCUCAAGAUAGUAUGUGCUUUUGAAUUGGUAUGAGUCACUAACUGGUGCUAAGUCUUAAGGGAACUCAGAUAAAAAGAUGAAUUUUGCAACAAGCACUAACAUCGAGGAAUGCUACCGAGUAGUUAUACAGCUAUAUUGUUUGGCAGGGCCUGCCAGUGCUCACCAUAAAUGUCUUCUCCUUGUCUUGCUGGAUACAUAAUCUGAUUCUCUUCCUCAACUAUCCUUUAGAGACUUGAAUGGAAACAUCAGCUCUCCUGGGUCUCCAGCUUGCUGACUGCAGAUCUUAGGAUAUGUCAGCCUCCGUAAUAGCAUGAGCUUCCUUAUAAUCAGUCUCUCUCUCUUUUUCUCUCUCUGUCUCUGUCUCUCUCUCUUUCACACAGACACACACACACACACACACACACUUUAUUGGUUCUGUUUCUCUGGAGACCCUUGACUAACACAUGAGCCCAAACCAUAAGCCCUUCCACUGAGAAUCUUUGCUGUCUUCUCUCAUCUACUGAAUGGAUGGAGAGGAUUCUAUGAACCAAGGGAAAGGUGGGGCCACAAAAUGGUAGGCAUCUGGAUCCCUGAAUAAAGCAUGAGAAGAGAACUGCCUGGUCUACCUUCAUUGUACUGCAACAUGAAUGAGAAAUAAACACUUAUUGUGCUGAUCCACUCAGA